CAGUUAAAUUUGAAUUACAGACAAACAACACAUACAUCUUUUAGUAUAAGUAGGUUCCAGGCAAUAUUUGGGACCUACUUAUACUAAAAAAAAUAUAUAUAUAUAUAUAUU
rnacentral:miRNA from 10 species